GACGAACGCUGGCGGCGUGCUUAACACAUGCAAGUCGAACGGUGAAGCGCCUUUCUUUUUGGUGGGUGUGGAUGAGUGGCGAACGGGUGCGUAACACGUGAGUAACCUGCCCCCUUCUUCUGGAUAACCGCAUGAAAGUGUGGCCAAUACGGGAUAUUCUGGGUCUGUCGCAUGAUGGGUCUGGGCAAUAUAUUGUGUCGGUGGGGGAUGGGCUCGCGGCCUAUCAGCUUGUUGGUGGGGUGAUGGCCUACCAAGGCGGUGAGGGGUAGCUGGCCUGGGAGGAUGAGCGGUCAGACAGGGACUGCAACGCGGACCAGACUACGAGGGGAGGCAGCAGGGGGGAAUAGUGCACAGUGGGCGGAAGGCUGCUGCAGCGACGCCGCGUGGGGGAUGGAGGCCUUCGGGUUGUGAACCUCUUUCGCGGGUGAAGCAGGGCUGCCUCGUUUGUGGGUGGGUUGACGGUAGCUGGAUAAGAAGCGCCGGCUAACUACGUG
rnacentral:rRNA from 1 species